rnacentral:lncRNA from 1 species
UCAGAUACGAGAAGGUGUCUCUGAGAAACAGAUAGCUGCUGAGGCAAGGAAAGCAAAGAAAGCCAGAACUGAAGGAGCUUCUGGAAGCGGAUCUUCAGCUCCUCUGCAAAUCUCAACUAGUAAGUCUAUUCCUCUGUUACUUCUGUACCUAUGAUGGCUUCUUCUCAUCCUCUCACAACAUCUCCCAUAUUUACUACCUCUGAAAUCCCACCUACAACCAUCAGAACCUCCCAACCUUUACCAAUACUAAAAUUGCCCGUACUUCCAUCCUCCAUCUGAACCUACACAAACCACUUCCUCUUCAUCAUCCUCAGAACCUGAAACACCUCCUUAUGUUUCUCUCUCCUCUGACCCUGAUUUUUCUGAUCCUGAGUCCCCAACCAUAGCCACUCUCUAUGCCAACAGACUUGCCUCUCAACAACAAACUCUAACACAAUCUGAAGUAACCUCACCACUCCAAACUUCACUUCCACCACAACAAACAACAACUCUCCCUCUGAAACUCAACCAUCU